UUACGGACAUAUCACGUUGAAACAUAGGUUUUCGUACGAUCGGGGAAGUUAAGCAACGUCGUGCCUGGUCAGUACCUAGAUGGGCGACCGCUUGUGAAUACCAAGUUCUGUAUG